AGCUAAAUCUAAGUAAAUUUGGAUUUUGUAGAAUAAUUUGCCCGUAAGUAAAUAGAAUGAAUAAGAAAUCAACAGAGGUGGAGAGGAAUUCUCACGUGACCUAAGCCCUGCCAAGCAUAACUUCUGUGACUUUCCCAGAGCUGUAAGGAUAGAAAUAGCCUAUUACUUGCAAACCAGAAUAGAAGGAAGACUGUAACGAUAAAAUAUUUUUAAGAAGGCAGAAAGAGGAGAACAACCGGAAAUCUCCAUGAGGGUUACAACUUAACCUCGGACUCACAUGGACCACAUGUGUGUGAAAGGCUCGAUGCUUCAGUGGAGAGACUGAACUGUCAGGCAGAAUGCCACAAGCUCACCCGUGAACAGGAACCCGGUUAGAAUGCACAGAUGCAAAUGCCGAAAAUAUCUGUCUAUAUUGAUGGAGAAGAAAAGCAAAAGAAAGUACAUGUGAGGCAUGAUCUUAAGGUUCCACAAAGACAGCUAUAUCUAAUAAAUUCAGCACAGGAAAUCAAUUCAAAACGGGAAUGCAGAGGAAGAUCUGAGUUCCUGUGAUCUACCAGAGAGUGACUGCUCCCAAGAACAAUUUUCAUUUACCUUUGUGCAAGGCCAUAUUUUAAAUAUCUAGCAUGUAUGGCUCCUGAAUAUGAAGCAAUCGAGAAGUAGGGACCAGUUGUCUUCCAAUCAGAUUGCAACGUUGGACACUAGUGGAACUUAGGUAAAAACAUUCCGGAUACCUCAAUCAUAAAAACAGAGCCUGCGUGCUGUUUUCUGGUGUUUUGUGAUGCAAAAAGCUAGAAUAAUAAUGUUGCAGACACUGGGGAAUAUUUUCUAGCUAGUAGAUAGCCCUCUCUCAGCCAUGAAUGUUUUCUUGAACGCUGGGACUCUUCUGUGAUUCUGUCUCUCUGCAGCUUGUAUCUCAUUUGGCUGUUAAGAGCUAGAAUUUGAGCU